CAGUAGCCGCGGGAAUACGUAGGGUGCAAGCGUUAAUCGGAAAUACUGGGCGUAAAGCGUGCGCAGGCGGUUAUAUAAGACAGAUGUGAAAUCCCCGGGCUCAACCUGGGAACUGCAUUUGUGACUGUAUAGCUAGAGUACGGCAGAGGGGGAUGGAAUUCCGCGUGUAGCAGUGAAAUGCGUAGAUAUGCGGAGGAACACCGAUGGCGAAGGCAAUCCCCUGGGCCUGUACUGACGCUCAUGCACGAAAGCGUGGGGAGCAAACAGGAUUAGAUACCCGCGUAGUCCCUGUCUCUUAUAC
rnacentral:rRNA from 1 species